rnacentral:rRNA from 1 species
UACAGAGGUGGCAAGCGUUGUUCGGAAUUACUGGGCGUAAAGGGCGCGUAGGCGGCCUUGUAAGUCCCAUGUGAAAUCCCUCGGCUCAACUGAGGAACUGCACGGGAAACUGCUUGGCUUGAGUUCGGGAGAGGGAAGCGGAAUUCCGGGUGUAGCGGUGAAAUGCGUAGAUAUCCGGAGGAACACCGGUGGCGAAGGCGGCUUCCUGGACCGACACUGACGCUGAGGCGCGAAAGCUAGGGGAGCAAACGGG